AUGGCCUAUUAGGCCCACCUUUGCUUCUAAUGGCAAGGGCGGUGGAUGGUAGGGUACGUAUUUAUCGUGUUGGUGAAGUAUCGCUCCAGAGAUGUCCAAAUGGUGGAGACUGGAGCGACGCCGUGAAGCUUCCGAUGCGAUGGCCGAUGGCGACAGCGGUAGAGAGAGAGAGAUGAAAGCGGCGGCGCGAUGUCCACCGGAGUCCGAGACUGACGACGGCGAAGAAGAAAGAGGACGUUAUGGCAGCGAUAGAGGGCCAAGGCCGAAGAACAAGCGUUCGGGUUGCGCUUCUCUGUUGAUUCCGCAUCUGGCGCUCCCAUGAGUUCCAUUAUCGGGUUAGGUAGGCUGUCCCAAUCUCCGCUCCAGCUCUUCUCAUUCCCAAUUUGAUCCGCUUGUUUAUUGUUUUCGCCGUGCAAUCUUUUGCCUAGUUUCUUGUCCGUGGGGACGGUGGAGCAUGAUUCCUAAUUCAGUUUGUCUGUCCCGUAGAAUGUUUGAAUGAAUGACGCGGGAAGCAUCCUGCUGUAUCGCGAUCUGUGCUUGAGGAACGCCAGAGUUAAUGGAAUUUGGGAGCUUCAUGUGGUAUCUAUGAUCUCCCUUGUUGGGCUAGGGUUUGAGUUCCAUCUCCAAAAUUUUCAAAUUUUCAUGUGUUUAUUGAAGGAUCUGGCUUAAUGAAGAAGAAAGGAUUUAAGGGAUCCUUAGCUGAUAUGGGAUAGUCCUCUAAGACAUUUGCAGUUUUAGCUGGUGUUCAUAGUUUCGUUGCAUGUCUUCUAAAGAGAUUCAGAGGAAAGGAUGAUGUUUGCAGCUAUUAAUGCAGGCAAAGCUGGGUGGAAUGAAAACUAAGAUCUUGUAUGAGUGGAGAACAACCUUUCCUACGGAUUUUACAUAACCAUGUUGCACAAGUUGCAUCCCCACUUCAGAAGAUACAGCUUCUUGCUUAGGUUCAAUGCUUUGCAACAAAACAACAUGGUUCACCAGGAGUCCUGAUUCAGAGUUGCCUCAGCUUUGGAACAUUCUCAUGUCUCAUCCGGGAACUCAAUAAAAAUCAGGAUGCAGUCACUCUUCCUCGCAUGGCCAGUCAAAACCUUUAUUGGACGCACUGCUAACUUGUCCGUCUGUCAUCGAAUUUACUAUAGAAUCUACAAUUGUCAUGAUCUUAAUUGUCACACCAUGAAAAACUGCAAACAAAUCUUACAUAGGGUUAUUACACUUAUUCUA